rnacentral:tRNA from 1 species
GGGAAUGUAGCUUAAUGGUAGAGUGCUUGCCUAGCAUGCAUGAAGCCCUAGGUUUAAUUCCUCAGUACCA